rnacentral:rRNA from 1 species
UACGUAGGGGGCUAGCGUUGUCCGGAAUCAUUGGGCGUAAAGCGCGUGUAGGCGGCCCGGUAAGUCCGCUGUGAAAGUCGGGGGCUCAACCCUCGAAUGCCGGUGGAUACUGUCGGGCUUGAGUACGGAAGAGGCGAGUGGAAUUCCUGGUGUAGCGGUGAAAUGCGCAGAUAUCUGGAGGAACACCAGUGGCGAAGGCGGCUCACUGGACUGGUAUUGACGCUGAGGUGCGAAAGCGUGGGGAGCAAACAGGG